GAUGAAGAACGUAGCGAAAUGCGAUAAGUAAUGUGAAUUGCAGAAUUCAGUAAAUCAUCGAAUCUUUGAACGCACAUUGCGCCCGCCAGUAUUCUGGCGGGCAUGCCUGUCCGAGCGUCAUUUCAACCCUCGCGCCCAUCUGGGCUGCGGUGUUGGGGACCGGCCUGCCCCCCCGGGGCGCGCCGCCCCCCAAAUUCAGUGGCGGUCUCGCUGCAGCCUCCCUUGCGUAGUAGCACACCUCGCACCGGAGCGCAGCGCGGCCACGCCGUAAAACCCCCGACCCCCAUGAGUUUGACCUCGGAUCAGGUAGGAAUACCCGCUGAACUUAAGCAUAUCAAUAAGCGGAGGA
rnacentral:misc_RNA from 1 species